UCCCUGGUGGCUCAGUGGGUAAAGCGUCCGCCUCCAAUGCGGGAGGCCCAGGUUCGAUCCCUGGGUCGGGAA
rnacentral:tRNA from 1 species